UCUUUGGAGAUGAGGGUGGUUGCUGAUCCCAGACGAGCCCCCCAAUGAAAGACCUCUGGAGCGGGAAGACCCUCACUCAAGUCUCGGGAUGACACGAUCCCCCAAGAACUCACAAGAGAUC
rnacentral:pre_miRNA from 14 species